GACGAACGCUGGCGGCGUGCUUAACACAUGCAAGUCGAACGGUGAAGCGCCUUCCUUUUUGGUGGGUGUGGAUGAGUGGCGAACGGGUGAGUAACACGUGAGUAACCUGCCCCCUUCUUCUGGAUAACCGCAUGAAAGUGUGGCUAAUACGGGAUAUUCUGGGUCUGUCGCAUGAUGGGUCUGGGAAAGAUAUUGUUUCGGUGGGGGAUGGGCUCGCGGCCUAUCAGCUUGUUGGUGGGGUGAUGGCCUACCAAGGCGGGGACGGGUAGCCGGCCUGAGAGGGUGGACGGUCACACUGGGACUGAGACACGGCACAGACUCCGACGGGAGGCAGCAGUGGGGAAUAUUGCACAAUGGGCGCAAGCCUGAUGCAGCGACGCCGCGUGAGGGAUGGAGGCCUUCGGGUUGUGAACCUCUUUCGCCAGUGAAGCAGGCCUGCCUCGUUUGUGGGUGGGUUGACGGUAGCUGGAUAAGAAGCGCCGGCUAACUACGUG
rnacentral:rRNA from 1 species